AUUGAACGCUGGCGGCAUGCCUUACACAUGCAAGUCGAACGGCAGCACGGGAGCAAUCCUGGUGGCGAGUGGCGAACGGGUGAGUAAUGUAUCGGAACGUGCCCAGUCGUGGGGGAUAACGUAGCGAAAGCUACGCUAAUACCGCAUACGAUCUAUGGAUGAAAGCGGGGGACCGUAAGGCCUCGCGCGAUUGGAGCGGCCGAUAUCAGAUUAGGUAGUUGGUGGGGUAAAGGCCUACCAAGCCGACGAUCGGUAGCUGGUCUGAGAGGACGACCAGCCACACUGGGACUGAGACACGGCCCAGACUCCUACGGGAGGCAGCAGUGGGGAAUUUUGGACAAUGGGCGCAAGCCUGAUCCAGCAAUGCCGCGUGCAGGAAGAAGGCCUUCGGGUUGUAAACUGCUUUUGUACGGAACGAAAAGGUUUGGGUUAAUACCCUGGGCCGAUGACGGUACCGUAAGAAUAAGCACCGGCUAACUACGUGCCAGCCGCCGCCGUAAAAC
rnacentral:rRNA from 1 species